GAAACAGAAUGAAGCAUUGGGGAUCAGGGAAGCUGGAGAGAAAUCAAGGUCCUUUGUGUAGGUGGAGGUGAGAUGCAAAACAGGUUCACAUGGAAACUCAUGUCUCUCCACCUCCUCCCAGCUUGAUGUUCAACCCUCGAGUCUCCAGGUUAUCGAUGCUCAGGAGGGUCUUGAGAGCCAAGCAAGAGGAAGUGGCUGGGAGCAGUGUGCUGCAUGAGGAAAGAAUGCAAGGAAAGGACAUCAAGUGAGAAGUGGAGUGGUUGUGAAAAGAGAGACUUGGGGUGGUCAUUGGAGCUGGUCUGGAGCACAGAACAGGUGGAGGCAAGACAGAAGGGUCAGUAGUUCUGGAGACGAUGGAGGAAGAGCCACUGUUCUCCUGAACUCACCACAGCAGGAGUAUCUGUAGAUGAGGAAGGCUGCGAAACUGAGGAAGAGUAAGGUGAAGAUGCCGAUGAGGAUGAUUUCAGUGGUCCCUGGAGAGGAGAGCAGGUAUCCCGGAAGAGACUUAGAAGGAUGCCCAUUUUAUAGAUGCACAAGCUGAGGGUCAGAGAGUGGAAGAAAGAUUUCCAAAGUCACCCAGCUACUGAGUAGGCAGAGCCCAGACUCCGACUCCACCUCAGAAGACGUUGCAGGGAACCACAGUCUUCCGGUGUCACCAAAAUACAGACAAACAUCGUGAGGACGUUGCUGGCAAUGGAUGUCUUGCUGUCACAAGGGAGCCCCAUCCUGUGUUUGUAUGACCCUGUCCCGGGCAGCUGUCUUCUCUUACCUAGUGUUGUUCCUGCUCUGUUGGAAGACUCGGUCUCUUCUAGAAGAGAAUCCCUGGCUUAAAAAGAUAAAGUCACAGAACGAGAAUCACAGUAGUAUACCAUUGCUGUACAAUUUCAAACUCUGUAUAUUAUUUACAAAGCGAUAGUAAAUGUAUAAAAACAUGCACACAACUGAUGGCACCAGGUUUAGGGUGCAAGUUUCUACUGGGGGAGGCGAGAUAAUGGGAACAACGUGGGGAAGAAAAGCGGACUCCCUUUUUAAUCUCUAUUUGUGGAAAGAAAAGAACGUGGAGCAAAUAUACCUAAAUGUGAAGAAGGCAAUUCCAGGUGGUGAUGCAUGACUAGCUGUUAUUUUAUUAUCUCUAGUCUAUUAGGUAGUGUUUUUCAAAUUUCUCCAAAGAAAGGAAAUUCUUACAUAUAUGGUAUGGUCUGUAUUAUAAUAUUAUAUUAUAAUAGUAUAUAGGGUGUAUGUUAUAUAUUACGGUAAUUAUCAUCAAGACCAUCUCUAUAUAUUUAUAUAUGAAUAUAUAACAGGAGACCUGUAUAUCUCUCCUAUUGGUCGUGUUUCUCUGGAGAAUCCAGGCUAAUACAGGUAGACAGAAUGCUCUUAAAUCAGAUAUGGCUGUGGUUCCCAGGGUGAAUGGAGCAGCCUGCCCGUUUUCUGUAGGGCUUCUGGGGGCAACGUAGUGAUAACCCAAACUAACGUGUAUUGAGUGUCUACUCAUACACCUAACCUUUCCUCUUGCCUGUAGCCACGUAGCUGUUUUGUAAUCCCAUUGCACAGAGAGGUUAGGCUACAGCAAGAGUGGGUUUUGUUUGGUGGGUUUUUUUUGUGUGUGUGUGUGUGUCUUUUUUUUACAGAUAAGCAAAGUAAAGCUCAAAGAGGUUACGUGAUGUGCACAGGGUCACACGCCUGUGGGUAGCAGAGUGUGGUUGGGACCACAGGCUUUGUUAGCCCUGCUGUUGGGACACUCACCACACCACUCACGCUUCGUUGUUUCACCACA